UGGGGAAUAUUGGACAAUGGACCAAAAGUCUGAUCCAGCAAUUCUGUGUGCACGAUGACGUUUUUCGGAAUGUAAAGUGCUUUCAGUUGGGAAGAAAAAAAUGACGGUACCAACAGAAGAAGUGACGGCUAAAUACGUGCCAGCAGCCGCGGUAAUACGUAUGUCACAAGCGUUAUCCGGAUUUAUUGGGCGUAAAGCGCGUCUAGGUGGUUAUGUAAGUCUGAUGUGAAAAUGCAGGGCUCAACUCUGUAUUGCGUUGGAAACUGCAUGACUAGAGUACUGGAGAGGUAAGCGGAACUACAAGUGUAGAGGUGAAAUUCGUAGAUAUUUGUAGGAAUGCCGAUGGGGAAGCCAGCUUACUGGACAGAUACUGACGCUAAAGCGCGAAAGCGUGGGUAGCAAACAGGAUUAGAUACCCUGGUAGUCCACGCUGUAAACGAUGAAUACUAGGUGUCGGGGAGCAAAGCUUCUCGGUGCCGUCGCAAACGCAAUAAGUAUUCCACCUGGGGAGUACGUUCGCAAGAAUG
rnacentral:rRNA from 1 species